rnacentral:rRNA from 1 species
UGAAUACGAGAUGCUACGGCGUCGAAGCAGUCUAUGUCAUACUUCCAAGAAAAGCUUGCACUGUCAUAAACAAAUAAUGCCUGUACCAUAACCGACACAGGUGGGUAGGUAGAGUAUACUAAGGGGCGCGAGAUAACUCUCUCUAAGGAACUCGGCAAAAUGACUCCGUAACUUCGGGAGAAGGAGUGCCUUAUUUAUAAGGUUGCAAUAACAAGAUCCAAGCAACUGUUUACCAAAAACACAGGUCUCCGCUAAGUCGUAAGACGAUGUAUGGGGGCUGACGCCUGCCCAGUGCCAGAAGGUUAAAGAAGUUGGUUAGCAUCCGCGAAGCUGAUAACUGAAGCCUGGUGAACGGCGGCCGUAACUAUAACGGUCCUAAGGUAGCGAAAUUCCUUGUCGGGUAAGUUCCGACCCGCACGAAAGGCGUAAUGAUUUGGAUACUGUCUCGGAGAGGGGCUCGGUGAAAUAGACUUGUCUGUGAAGAUGCGGACUACCUGCACCAGGACAGAAAGACCCUAUGAAGCUUUACUGUAACCUGAAAUUGAAAUUGGACUUUACUUGCGCAGUAUAGGUGGGAGGCGUUGAGAAUAUUCUUGCGGGAUUAUUGGAGCCAUCAGUGAGAUACCACUCUUGUAAUGUUAGAUUUCUAACUUUGUAUCAUUAUCUGGUCAAAGAACAGUUUCAGGCGGGCAGUUUGACUGGGGCGGUCGCCUCCUAAACGGUAACGGAGGCGCACAAAGGUUUCCUCUGAACGGGUAGAAAUCGUAUCUAGAGUGUAAAGGCAUAAGGAAGCUUGACUGUGAGACCUACAAGUCGAGCAGGGACGAAAGUCGGUCUUAGUGAUCUGACGGUGCUGAGUGGAAAGGCCGUCACUCAACGGAUAAAAGUUACUCUAGGAUAACAGGCUGAUCUCCCCCAAGAGUUCACAUCGACGGGGAGGUUUGGCACCUCGAUGUCGGCUCAUCGCAUCCUGGGGCGGUAGUACGUCCCAAGGGUUGGGCUGUUCGCCCAUGAAAGCGGUACGCGAGCUGGGUUCAGAACGUCGUGAGACAGUUCGGUCCAUAUCCGGUGUAGGCGUUAGAAUAUUGAGAGGAGCCUUCUUUAGUACGAGAGGACCGAGAAGGACAUACCUCUGGUGUACCAGUUAUCGUGCCAACGGUAAGCGCUGGGUAGCUAUGUGUGGAGUGGAUAACCGCUGAAAGCAUCUAAGUGGGAAGCCCACCUCAAGAUAAG